CUUGCUUUACCUCAUUGUGUAAGACAAGCGUCAAAAACAGCUUCAACCUAUCUUGAACAAGAGAACUUACCUCCAAAGGCUUAUCAUCUGUCUUCCACUUAUCCAACAAGCUGCUAUGGCCACUGCCUGUGCCGCACCUGGAACCACCGCCAGCCCCACUACUGCCUCCACUACCACUGGUUCUCCCACCCUGAUCAGCUGCUUGCUGCUGCCAUCUUAUCCGCUUCUGCCUG
rnacentral:lncRNA from 1 species